rnacentral:rRNA from 1 species
UAGCGUAGGGGGCAAGCGUUGUCCGGAAUCGAUUGGGCGUAAAGCGCGUGUAGGCGGCUCGACAAGUCCGCUGUGAAAAGUCCAGGGCUCAACCCUGGGAUGCCGGUGGAUACUGUCGAGCUUGAGUCCGGAAGAGGCGAGUGGAAUUCCCGGUGUAGCGGUGAAAUGCGCAGAUAUCGGGAGGAACACCAAUGGCGAAGGCAGCUCGCUGGGACGUUACUGACGCUGAGGAGCGAAAGCGUGGGGAGCGAACAGG